CAGGAAGGUGAGACGAUACCACGCACACAAUCACCUCAAACCUUCCAACAGCAUUUUUCAAAGCGCCCACAGGGAUAGCAGCAGAAUAACACUGCAGGAGGCGGUGCCUCCUGAAUGAGCCCAAAACACUGCUCUUCAAAUGGAACACAUCCAUCCUUCAGGUGUCCAUGCAGGAUGUACCACUCUGGAACAUCAAACCUCUCCCUACCUGCCAGCACAUGAAAAUAUUUCUACUUCUGACUAUCAAAGACAAUGGAAAACCAUUUUCCAGAUCAGCCCUCACAGAUCCUCCUGAUGGCCUAACAACUGAACUACAUGUCGAUGCUAAGUAUGAUUCAUCUCAAUCAUUUUAGGAAGCUCUCCCUGAUAUAGGGGAUUGGAUGUACAAUGACGGACAUACGUUUAACGAAGGAUUUGAAGAUAGUUUGAGUGAGGAGUGUGCAGAAGAGUCAAAUUUCAAGGACACAACAGACAAACCAAUACAUGACAAUGCAUCAGAAACCAUGGCAGAGUGCCUUCUGAUCAUCAUGGGUUAUGUAAACUGUCAUAAAGUCACUGAUAAGGCCCUAAGCGAUAUGCUCAAAAUGUUCAAUUUGCUUUAUCCCGAUAGUCUGAACACAGACUGCUUAAACAGUGUGCAGAAGUUCCAAAACUUUUUUUUAUCCCACUCUGCAUCAUCGCUUAUUAUAUUACAUACAUCCUCCAGUAAUUGUUUUGGGCCAAUAGAAAGUAAACAAAUAAAAUGCCUGUUUUGUGGGACCAGUGUGUCAGAAGAAAGAUUCUCAUCCUUAUUUUUAAAGUAUGUACAGAUUGAUUUAUUUUUUACCAUUUUUUACCAUGUGCCAAAUGGGCCCUCGUUGGUGAAUUUAAACAUGCAGGUUUUUCUUUGCUGCAAGAUAGUGUAACAUAUGAGACAUGCAGUCAUGUUAUUCCCCUAUUGGAAACCUCUGCCAGUACAGUAGUAUCCUUGGAUCACAUAUUGGGUAAAGUUGUUUUCCUUGACUUCACAUCUAUGCCUGGCAUUGUGUUUGCAGUUCAUUUCCCCAACACACUUGAAAAGUUUUAAAUAAUUAGGAACUGAACUGGCCUAAGAAGCCACAAAUCAAAUUUUUGAUCAUUGUUAUAAAUGCUCUGAAAAUACACACUGAUGUGAUGUU